rfam:Callithrix jacchus chromosome 1, whole genome shotgun sequence
CCACAGGAUGUACUCACAUCCACAUUCACUCACUGUGACCAUUUAG